GUGUCUGGCCAUACCACUGUGACCGUGCCAGAUCUUGUCUGAUCUCGGAAGCUGAGCAGGAUUGGGGCUGAUUAAUACUUGGGUGGGAGGAGGUAUUUGUAAACCAUGUAUC
rnacentral:rRNA from 1 species